GACGUAGGGUGCGAGCGUUGUCCGGAUUUAUUGGGCGUAAAGAGCUCGUAGGCGGCUCGUCGCGUCGACCGUGAAAACCCGCAGCUUAACUGCGGGCUUGCGGUUGAUACGGGCGGGCUAGAGUUUGGUAGGGGAGACUGGAAUUCCUGGUGUAGCGGUGAAAUGCGCAGAUAUCAGGAGGAACACCGGUGGCGAAGGCGGGUCUCUGGGCCGAUACUGACGCUGAGGAGCGAAAGCGUGGGGAGCGAACAGG
rnacentral:rRNA from 1 species